CUUGAAUUGUCCCAGCUGUUCUUCUUAGUCCAAAUCUAAUAGUUUCUCUUUGGGGCCAAGGUAUAGAGAGAAUCAGAUCUUUAAAGACUGCUUUUUAGAGCCUCAGAGGGGCAAGUUUUCUAGGGAGAAAGUGCAUGGUGUUCUUUGAAACUAGCUGCAGAGUAUCUGUCUGCAUUUCAAACUGAGUCUCAUCUGCAGUUUCCGUGGGAGAAAGCCAUCUGCAGUUCAGUGCAUGUCCUCAGGACCCCAGAUGUUCCCUGAACCAUUGGGUAUUUGCUAUUAGCUCCAGAUCACACGUGCCAGUCAAGUGGUGGCAGCGCAGGAGACAAAGAUCCUGUGAAGUCCAAGUGAAGCCUCUUCUGUGGACAGCAAGGUCUCCAACAUCUCUAGACAAAGGACACACAUCCCUCCUCUGUUCUAGCAGGGAAGAAGUCAGCUUCCAAGUAGCUUGAGGACUCUUUAACUCUAUAUUUAGGGAGUUAGAAACAGCUUGAGAAACUAGUUUCACUGUAGUUGAAAAAAAUGCCUUUUUGUGUGUCCAUCAACAUGUCUGUAAUUCCAGCACUCUGGGAGUCUGAGGUAGAAGGGUGACAAGGCUGAAGCCCAGCCUGGACAAUUUAGUGUUUAGCAAGACCUUGUUUCAAAAUAAAAAUUUCAAUAAAGGGCUGAGAAUAUAGCUCAGCAUGAAGGCCAUGGAUUCAAUCCUUAGCAGGGGUGGGGGG
rnacentral:lncRNA from 1 species